AACGAACGCUGGCGGCAGGCCUAACACAUGCAAGUCGAACGCUGUAGCAAUACAGAGUGGCAGACGGGUGAGUAACGCGUGGGAACCUUCCCAAUGGUACGGAAUAGCUCAGGGAAACUUGAGGUAAUACCGUAUAAGCCCCUAGGGGGAAAGAUUUAUCGCCAUUGGAUGGGCCCGCGUCGGAUUAGCUAGUUGGUAGGGUAACGGCCUACCAAGGCGACGAUCCGUAGCUGGUUUGAGAGAAUGACCAGCCACACUGGGACUGAGACACGGCCCAGACUCCUACGGGAGGCAGCAGUGGGGAAUCUUGGACAAUGGGCGCAAGCCUGAUCCAGCCAUGCCGCGUGAGUGACGAAGGCCUUAGGGUUGUAAAGCUCUUUUGCCGGGGACGAUAAUGACGGUACCCGGAGAAUAAGUCCCGGCUAACUUCGUGCCAGCAGCCGCCGUAAGAC
rnacentral:rRNA from 1 species